GGGCCAGUAGAUCAAUGGCUAGAUCGCCAGCUCCGCAAGCUUAUUGAUGUAAUGGAGGCUAGGGGUUCAAGUCCCCUCUGGUCCA
rnacentral:tRNA from 1 species